rnacentral:misc_RNA from 1 species
UUUCCGUAGGUGAACCUGCGGAAGGAUCAUUAUUGUAUAACCGAGGUGCGAGGGCUGUCGCUGACCCGAAAGGUCGUGCACGCCCGAGUGCCCUCACACACAUCCAUCUCACCCCUAUGUGCACCACCGCGUGGGUCCCCCUUUGGCUUGUUCGGAGGGGGGCUUACGUUUUCACACAAACUUUGUAUGCAGUGUAGAAUGUAUUUUUUGUUUUUGCGAUCACGCAAUCAAUACAACUUUCAACAACGGAUCUCUUGGCUCUCGCAUCGAUGAAGACGCAGC